UACGUAGGGGGCAAGCGUUGUCCGGAUUUAUUGGGCGUAAAGAGCGUGUAGGCGGCCAGUUAGGUCAGCUGUGAAAACUCGAGGCUCAACCUCGAGACGUCGGUUGAAACCACCUGGCUAGAGUCCGGAAGAGGAGAGUGGAAUUCCUGGUGUAGCGGUGAAAUGCGCAGAUAUCAGGAAGAACACCCGUGGCGAAGGCGGCUCUCUGGGACGGUACUGACGCUGAGACGCGAAAGCGUGGGGAGCGAACAGG
rnacentral:rRNA from 1 species